rnacentral:rRNA from 1 species
ACGGGGGGGGCGAGCGUUGUUCGGAAUUACUGGGCGUAAAGAGCACGUAGGCGGCCUUGCAAGUCAGUUGUGAAAGCCUUCCGCUUAACGGAAGAACGGCAUCUGACACUACAGGGCUUGAGUACGGGAGUGGAGAGUGGAACUUCUGGUGGAGCGGUGAAAUGCGUAGAUAUCAGAAGGAACGCCGGCAGCGAAAGCGACCCUCUGGUCCGAAACUGACGCUGAGUGUGCGAAAGCUAGGGGAGCAAACGG